rnacentral:rRNA from 1 species
GAAAAACCUUACCCCCCCUUGACAAGUAACGAAAUUUCCAGAGAAGGGGGGGUGCUUGAAAGAGAACCUGAACACAGGUUCUGCAUGGGUGUUGUCAACUUGUGUUGUGAGAUUGUGGGUUAAGUCCCGCAACGAGCGCCACCCUUGCCCUUAAUUUCCAUCAUUUAGUUGGGCACUUUAAUGAGACUGCCGGUGACAAACCGGAGGAAGGUGGGGAUGACGUCAAGUCCUCAUGGCCCUUAUGGCCAGGGCUUCACACGUCAUACAAUGGUCGGUACAAAGGGUUGCCAACCCGCGAGGGGGAGCCAAUCCCACAAAGCCGGUCGUAGUCCGGAUUGCAGUCUGCAACUCGACUCCAGGAAGUGGGAAUCGGAAGUA